rnacentral:rRNA from 1 species
GACGAACGCUGGCGGCGUGCUUAACACAUGCAAGUCGAACGGAAAGGCCCUGCUUUUGUGGGGUGCUCGAGUGGCGAACGGGUGAGUAACACGUGAGUAACCUGCCCUUGACUUUGGGAUAACUUCAGGAAACUGGGGCUAAUACCGGAUAGGAGCUCCUGCUGCAUGGUGGGGGUUGGAAAGUUUCGGCGGUUGGGGAUGGACUCGCGGCUUAUCAGCUUGUUGGUGGGGUAGUGGCUUACCAAGGCUUUGACGGGUAGCCGGCCUGAGAGGGUGACCGGCCACAUUAGGACUGAGAUACGGCGCAGACGCGUACGGGAGGCAGCAGUGGGGAAUAUUGCACAAUGGGCGGAAGCGUGAGGCAGAAACGCCGCGUGCGGGAUGACGGCCUUCGGGUUGUAAACCGCUUUCGCCUGUGACGAAGCGUGAGUGACGGUAAUGGGUAAAGAAGCACCGGCUAACUACGUG